rnacentral:rRNA from 1 species
CAACGCGCAGAACCUUACCAGCCCUUGACAUACCGAUCGCGGAUUUGAGAGAUCAUUUCCUUCAGUUAGGCUGGAUCGGAUACAGGUGCUGCAUGGCCGUCG